rnacentral:rRNA from 1 species
UACGUAGGUGGCAAGCGUUAUCCGGAUUUAUUGGGCGUAAAGGGAACGCAGGCGGUCUUUUAAGUCUGAUGUGAAAGCCUUCGGCUUAAACGGAGUAGUGCAUUGGAAACUGGGAGACUUGAGUGCAGAAGAGGAGAGUGGAACUCCAUGUGUAGCGGUGAAAUGCGUAGAUAUAUGGAAGAACACCAGUGGCGAAAGCGGCUCUCUGGUCUGUAACUGACGCUGAGGUUCGAAAGCGUGGGCAGCAAACAGG